GGUUAUUAAAAUUUUACUGCAAAGAAAUUUACUUUUAGUAAAUUAUAUACCUUUUGCAUAAUGGUUUAAUUAUAAGUAAUUAAAACUAAUAUCCCCGAAAUUAGAAGAUUUAAUUUUAUUAUUUUAUUAGAAAUAAUAAUGUUUCAAAAUUAUAUAUAAAUACAAUUAGUGGUGAAAGGCUUAUCAAUUCUAAUGAUAUCUGGAAUAAUUUUAAAUGUAUUUAGUACAGAAUAAAGUUGAAUAAAAAAAUGUUAAGAUUUUUUUAAAAAGAAUAUAAAUUUUUAUUAUGAAUUAAUCUUCCAAUACUUUAUUACUAUAUAAUUAUUAAUUUAUUUAUCUUAUGUAAAAUUAUAUUAUAACUUCUUAAUAAUUGAUUAUGUUAAAAUUAGUAUAAUAUUUAUAUUACUAUAAAGAACUCGGCUAAUUAUUCAUCUGUUUAUCAAAAACGGCCGCAGUACUUUGACUGUGCUAAGGUAGCAUAAUAAAUUGACUUUUAAUUGGGGCCUUGAAUGAAUGGAUAGAUAAUUUCUGUUUCUAAUAACUUAUUAUAAAUUACUUAAAAGGUGAAAAUUCCUUUAAUAUAUUAAAUAGACGAGAAGACCCUAGGAGUUUUAAUUUUGUUGGGGCGACAAUAUAGCAAAACCUAUAUAUAAUAAUAUUUAACGAAUAAUUUUAAUAAUAAUAAACUACCCUAGGGAUAACAGCAUAAUUUAUUAAGUUUGUGACCUCGAUGUUGGA
rnacentral:rRNA from 1 species